rnacentral:rRNA from 1 species
UACGGAGGGUGCGGGCGUUAAUCGGAAUUACUGGGCGUAAAGGGCGCGUAGGCGGUUAGGUAAGUCGGGUGUGAAAGCCCUGGGCUUAACCUGGGAAUGGCAUUCGAGACCACCUAGCUAGAGUCUGGUAGAGGGAAGUGGAAUUUCCGGUGUAGCGGUGAAAUGUGUAGAUAUCGGAAGGAACGCCGGUGGCGAAAGCGGCGCACUGGACCUUUUCUAACGCUGAGGCGCGAAAGCUAGGGGAGCAAAC